rnacentral:lncRNA from 1 species
ACAAUUAUCUCGAAUUGCGGUCAGCUCAUACGGUGAUCGAUCAAGUGCAAUCCAUUGCUCGAUGGUGAAUAAUUGUUGCGCACAAGGAAUAUGCGCGCCGGUGGUUGUCACCUCAAUGUAGUUACAAUACCAUCCGUGACCUGAUCCUGUUCCAUCAGAUGUUAUGUUCAGUUUACAGGCCGGUCCCGGAAGACACGGGCCUUUUCCGCUGAAGAUAUCGAGAUUGCCUCGUUCGAAAUAGUUGUAAUCAGGUCCCAUGAGUCCUCCCCAGGCUUCCAGAUUGUUGAUCCGGACUCCGUACCCUUCUGCGUCGUAGAGUGUCAGUGUCAUUAUCGAAUCCGUUCCCCCUUUGAUCACCGAGCCUGUCCGGACGUAGACCGUGUAUACGCAUUCAUCGUCCUGUCAUGAUAUUCAUCAAUAUAAUUUACAAGAGCAAAACAUAUCGGAUAAACGGAUUAUCAUAACUUUGGAGGAUUGAUUAUAUUAAUUAAAUUUCUUAUGAGACGAUGAGUGUAUGAGCGUGUUUAAUUAUAGAAAGAUUAGAGAAACGAAGUAUCGGAAUGUAACGAAUUAGCAAAAAGUGAUUAAUUU